AAUCCAUCCACAUCCACUCGCGAAUUACGUAGUACCCCCUUGCGGACCUUCAUGGAAUGCUCGGGCGGCUGUCUUUCGGGGCAGUCGGGCUCCAUCUCUCCGGAGAUGGGGUCGGCAACCAACCUACACACCCAACCAAACCGUCUGUCUGAAGUCAACUCGACCUAGCACUGCUAGUCGAACAACAAAGAC
rnacentral:rRNA from 2 species